rnacentral:misc_RNA from 1 species
UCAAACUUGGUCAUUUAGAGGAAGUAAAAGUCGUAACAAGGUUUCCGUAGGUGAACCUGCGGAAGGAUCAUUACCGAGUGUUGGCUACUUUCAGUAGCCGCCUCCCGUCCUAUGCCUUAUCAAAGAUUUUGCUUCGGUGGGGAAACUCGCCGACAGCACUCUUUUAACUCUUUGAAAAUCAGCAGUCAGAGGCUUUACAAAGAAAAAAAACUUUCAACAACGGAUCUCUUGGUUCUGGCAUCGAUGAAGAACGCAGC